AAAUGGGGGAGAAAAAGUCGAUGUGUUAUCUGAAGAGUCUGUUGAGUUGUUUCCUCUCUGCUUAGCCAGCCAGGAGUGAUUUAUAGUGUAUAUUUCAGGCGAACAAUGUCCUCUUCAAAGGACAAAGCUUGGGUUAGAGAGUGGGGGAUUUACAUUAGCCCAGUCACAUCAUAUUAUGUUACGUGUCUUCUAAUUUCUGCUGAUUUUUUUCCCCAGAGAUAUUUAGCGGGUACAUAAGAUAAAGUGGGCAUCAAAGGCUAAAGUUAUAAGGAAAUCUUAAAUUCUAGCUGCUCAUCCUCUGCCUUCUCUUUCUACUCUCUGCUUUUCAGCACAGAGGAUUGUGUACCCAUUUUGGUACACUAUGCUGAGGGAAGACUCCUAGCUCUUGCAUCUACUCCUGCCUCAGUUGUCUUAUCUGAAAGAAAAACCACAACAUCGGCAUAUCAGUCAUGCUCUAAGGAGAUAAAGGACCCAUCUAACUUAAAAAUGGAACCAUGCGGAUUAUGCCAGUAAGUCCCACUUUCUUUAGGUUAUAAUUUAUUAACACAUCCAUACCCACUAGUGUAUCAGCAUUUCUUCCAGAGAAAAGCUCUGUGAGCAUUAUGGUGAGUUUUAAGACAACGACCACAAGACUCAAGAGUCUGAGAGUGGUUAACACAGUCAUGUUUUGGUCAGGAAUUGGAAGGAUGAUGGUGGAUAUUUGUGCCAGGAGCAUCCCAGAGAUGUAGUACUUAGGUGACACUAUGAGGAGAGUACAAUGAUGCUCAGUACCUCAUCCAGGGGCCUUCAGAGGGAGACGCUGCAUAGACAGAUGCUGAGCUGACUAAUUAUAAGAAUUAAGGAAAAGUAAGCGACUUUAUCAUAACCUUCUCUGGAGCCUCUGCCUAUAUGAUAGUUUUUGUUCUCCCUUUAGAAUAUAUUCUUAUCUAUAAAGAUUAGAUUUCUUUUUUUUUUUUUUCCUUGCUAAACCAAUCUUGUCAAAAGGGUCUAAAAGAGAAAGAAUGAAGAGAAAAAUAAAAAAAAUUGAAAAGGUGUUUGGGACAAUAAUACUUAAGGAGCAACACAGUUCAUUAGCUGUCCCUACAAUUAUUAUGGGGUGAUUGGCUCUUUUGUUCUCUUUAUAGACAGGUAUUCACCUCUAGACAUUGAUCAGGUCCCUGGGACACCCAACACAAACCUCUGGUUUUUGACUGGAUCCUUAAGGGCAAACAAAAAUUAAUAACUGUUAGUCCUAGGCAUCUAAUGCUCAUAUUUUCCCAUCUGGGAGAAUAAGUAUUCAUAAACGGCAGGGAAAAAUAAAAUAUUUUACAAAGUUGUACUUCCUAAAUUACUUGGAUGGCAAACCAAACCAAACCAAACAACAACAACAGCAAACAAAACAAACAAACAAACAAACAAACAAACAAAAAACAAACUGAAAAAACCCUCAGUCACCCACGCAGCCCAUGAAGAAGCACUUUGUGUUUCAUAACAAAUAUUCCGGUGUGGAAGAACCCUUCUACUGGACCAAACCCAGGAAUAGUAAAGUAGCUUAGCUUUGCUUUUGGGGGGUCUGGCCAUUUGCCCAGAUCUAUCUGACUUUAAAACCAAGUUAAUAUAAAUGUAAUAAAUGAAAGCAAGGGCUGUUUUGAAGGAGUUCAAAUGAAUUCUUAUGAUGAUCACAGAACACGCAGUCUUUUCCCAUUAAAACAUUACUGAGUGCUAAAUAAGGCUGCAAUUAACAGGGUGCCAGAAAGUGGCGGAACUUCCAGUUUCCUGGUGCCAAUUAAAUUAAACCUCCAUUGAGAGACAAAGUCCCUCACAAAGUUUUUCCUAGUAAAUUUUUUUAAAAAGUAGAGCAUGGUGGAGGUGGGGCUGGGGGCGGGGGCGGGGGCAGAGGCGGGAUGGGGGCAGGGUGGUCAUUUUAACUGAAGUUGUGAACAUCUGAAAGUGUUGAUGAAAGCAGUAACUACUACAUGGUAAUUUUAAUUGCUUAUUGCUACAAAACUUUUCAUCACUGAGUUUUAAAGGAUCGCAAGCUGUCUAUAAGGGGUCAGGCAAGUGCGCAAACACCGCCUUAAGAACACAGGACUCUAAGAAUACAAACUAAUGGGAGCACGGUUUGGAAGGAGCAGGACGCAUCUGGGAGCAAUUAAUUACACAUACGGAUAAGGAUAAUGCAAGCCUUUCAAAACUCAAUUAAUAUGUUAUGCAUUAUUUAGUAAAACGCCCUUUACACCAACACGAAGGUUUUUUUUUUGUUUGUUUGUUUGUUUGUUUUUUAGCAAUGAGAAGUUCUAAUCCAACAUGUACACUUUACUUUCCCCUGAACCGGUAAAAUGCAAGCAAAUCACAUUUGAGAAUCAAUAUUCUAAUUCCGAGAAGUCUUCUGUCUGGAUGACAAAGGUAUCAGCCUUGGGUUUGAAAAGAAGUUCAAGCAACUGAAGGACAAAACUAAAAUACUAAAAUAGAAAAGUAAUUAGGGCCAGUCAGCAAAUCCACAUGCAGUAGACCAUUUUAACCAGAAGGCGAAAUAUUCCUUAAAGAGCAGAACUUUAAAACUACGGCAUGUAUUUAAUGAAGCACCAUUUGUAGACCCAUCUUACUGCAAUUGCCUGAUGCUGCUGUGCCUCGGACCUUCUGACCACACUAAAGAACUAGUGAAUUCUAAAAUAGACUGCCUCUGUCUCCAGUUGGUACUGGUGACUCACAGGAAUGCUUAAGUUUCAAUGGAGAAAAUACACAUCUAUGAACUAACUGUCAAAGGUUUUCUCUAGAAGGGACUAACAAUUGCAUCGUAAUGAACUUUACCCAUGAGCUCAGAAAAGACCAAAAACUAAAAGGAACUGAAUGCUUGAAGUGGGCAGGAGGGCAGGGCUGUAGUACCCAGCAGUGGCCACAGAGGGGUAGACAUAUCCCACCCAGGCCACUGGUGCUCAAACACAAGCCCCCAUUUCUCUUAGCAUGUGAGUGCUGAUGUGACUUACAACUCUUUAUGUGCAUUUUCCAAUAAUAAAUACAUAAGACCAGCAAA